CCUACGGGGAGCAGCAGUGGGGAAUAUUGGGCAAUGGGCGCAAGCCUGACCCAGCAACGCCGCGUGAAGGAAGAAGGCUUUCGGGUUGUAAACUUCUUUUGUCAGGGACGAAGCAAGUGACGGUACCUGACGAAUAAGCCACGGCUAACUACGUGCCAGCAGCCGCGGUAAUACGUAGGUGGCAAGCGUUAUCCGGAUUUACGGGGUGUAAAGGGCGUGUAGGCGGGGAAGCAAGUCAGAUGUGAAACCCACGGGCUCAACCUGUGACCUGCAUUUGAAACUGUUGGUCUUGAGUGCUGGAGAGGCAAUCGGAAUUCCGUGUGUAGCGGUGAAAUGCGUAGAUAUAAGGAGGAACACCAGUGGCGAAGGCGGAUUGCUGGACAGCAACUGACGCUGAGGCGCGAAAGCGUGGGGAGCAAACAGGAUUAGAUACCCGAGUAGUC
rnacentral:rRNA from 1 species